CCCUCUAACUUUUCAAUUCCACCCACAGGGCCACAACUCAACCUCCUCCGAUCAGAUCCACUCGCUUCGUCAAAUGGAAGUAGAACCCUCACCUCACCGCAAAUUCGGCACCAGUAUCCACAUAACAGCCAUCGACGGCAUCGUCAACGUAAAUUCCCUCUUCACCCUCGCAGUCUUCAUCGGUCUCGCUUGGAACCCCACAGACCCAACUAACACCCUCGUCGACGACCCCAACUGCGUCGCCGGCCCCCAUGUUGCAGAAGACCUAGUCUCCUUUCAUGUCUACUCCUUCAGCUCUUUUCUUUUCUCUAGCAUGAUCGCUUUGGGUCUUAAACAAGCCAUCAGGAUUGCGAAGAUCAAUGGAGGGCCGGUCAUACUUCAUGAUGCUAUGAUCAUGGCAAAGAUUAAUAAAACGGCAUUGAGGGUUGGGAUCCUUGUUUCUGCUGUUGGGUCUGUGUCUGGGUGUCUUUUCUUGAUGCUUGCUUUGGUGAAUGUGGUUCAGAUCAAGCUUGGGACUCUGUCUUGUGGGAGUGUAAAUAGUUAUGGAGCUAUUGUGCCUCUUGUUAUCCUGGUUCCUGCUGGGCUUCUCAUCUAUGUCGGCAUCAUAUUGUACGCCUUGACCCGUUAGGUUUUCUACUUCUAUUGCCCCAAAUUCUCUCUAUUUUCAUUAGGGGAAAAGAGGUUUUUCUGGUGCUUGUAUGCAUUAAAAAUUGUAACAAGAAUGAGCUUACAUGUUCCUUGACCCUUUUAAACUUGAAUUAUGAUAGGUUUAUUGGAGGAAUUCUGAAAUUAUGUGGAUCCAAGAAAGUGGUGCUUGAUAAUUGAUAACCUUGAAACCAUUGUAGCU